UAUCUCUGAAGAUAGGUAGGCACACAAAAUGACCAGAGGCGAGUUCAACAUGUUAGCUUGGACACUGUGUUGAGAACCACAAAUGUUUGGCUGAUCAGUGCCACUGCCAGCGGGAAAGAGUGGACCUGCGGAGCCAGCCCAGAAGUGCCCACGCAGAGAAAAGGGGACCAGGAGGGCAUUUAAAAUAUUGUCGUGGGAUUGGUGGCUCCAGGGUCCAGCACCUACUGCUCAGAAUGCCCAGGAGUAUAAACAGGAGGAAGAUCCAGGAACAUGUCGUGGAUGGGCCUGGUGCUGUUCUUGUGAACCAUCCCCUAAUAAA